CGGAUAAACCUACAAUAGUUGGUUAUACUCCAGGACUAACAAUGCAAGCAGGAGACACAUUGAGAUUUGACUGUGUUGCGUUUGGGGGCAAUCCACUCGCUUCUAUACAGUGGUAUCGGGGAAACAAACAGAUAAAUACAGUUUCCCGCGUCACUGGAAGUGGUGUAACAAACGAACUGGUAUUAAAAGCACAACGGGAAGAUAAUGGCGCCAUCUACCGGUGUGAAGCUAGUAAUCUUGCAACCUCUCAACCUCUUACAGCUUUCAUGAAAUAUUAGUAACGUUUCCUGCUGGGAAAGCCACCAUCAACGUUCAACCAGCACAACCCAGAGCAGGAGAAGAGGUAACUAUCGUAUGUUUUACUGACCGUA